UACAGGGGGUGCAAACGUUGCUCGGAAUCAUUGGGCGUAAAGCGCACGUAGGCGGUUCGUUAUGUCGGAUGUGAAAGCCCUUGGCUUAACCGAGGAAGUGCAUCCGAAACUGGCGAGCUAGAGUACGAAAGAGGAUCGCGGAAUUCCCGGUGUAGAGGUGAAAUUCGUAGAUAUCGGGAGGAACACCGGUGGCGAAGGCGGCGAUCUGGGUCGAUACUGACGCUGAGGUGCGAAAGCGUGGGGAGCAAACAGA
rnacentral:rRNA from 1 species